CUUCAGUAGGUGGCUAAGCCAGAAUACCCUGCCCAGUCCUCUGGGUUGGACCCUUGGAUUUGAAAUUCCUGGGCUUUUUACUUUAUUAGGGAAGGGCCACCCUCCCAGCAGUUGCUCUAGUGAGGCCUAGUCCUCCCCUUAAGCCUCUCACUACAUAAGGCCAUGGAGAAAGACAAUGAGAUGCCUUUCUUCUGAUUAAGACAUCAUCUCCACCCAGUAAAUGAACAGAUUACGAUUCUGGGAAUUAUGAUCAGCCCCUUUAUGACUAAUGCAGUGCAGGAGGAGAAAGUCUAUUUCCACUGCUGAGACAGUGACAUACAAGUCCAGGGGGAAUCUCUCCAGAAGCAUGUCUGUGUCCUGUGGCUCAGUGCCUGAAGGGCCUGAGAUUCCCAGGAACACCCAUGCCAUUCCCAGAACUGCAGAAGACAAUGAAAAAAGUAUUCUGACAGUCUUUUAGAAAUAGAAGUUGUUCUCUGCUGCUGCCGCACUGUCACGUGCAAAAAAGAUGGAAGAGAGCAGCC